AUUGAACGCUGGCGGCAUGCUUUACACAUGCAAGUCGAACGGUAACAGGCCUUCGGGUGCUGACGAGUGGCGAACGGGUGAGUAAUGCAUCGGAACGUGCCCAAUCGUGGGGGAUAACGUAGCGAAAGUUACGCUAAUACCGCAUAAGCCCUGAGGGGGGAAAUGGGGGGACCGCAAGGCCUCACGCGAAUGGAGCGGCCGAUGUCAGAUUAGCUAGUUGGUGGGGUAAAGGCUCACCAAGGCGACGAUCUGUAGCGGGUCUGAGAGGAUGAUCCGCCACACUGGGACUGAGACACGGCCCAGACUCCUACGGGAGGCAGCAGUGGGGAAUUUUGGACAAUGGGCGCAUGCCUGAUCCAGCCAUGCCGCGUGCGGGACGAA
rnacentral:rRNA from 1 species